rnacentral:rRNA from 1 species
AACGUAGGUGGCGAGCGUUAUCCGGAAUUACUGGGCGUAAAGGGCUCGUAGGCGGCCAACUAAGUCAGACGUGAAAUCCCUCGGCUUAACCGGGGAACUGCGUCUGAUACUGGAUGGCUUGAGGUUGGGAGAGGGAUGCGGAAUUCCAGGUGUAGCGGUGAAAUGCGUAGAUAUCUGGAGGAACACCGGUGGCGAAGGCGGCAUCCUGGACCAAUUCUGACGCUGAGGAGCGAAAGCCAGGGGAGCAAACGGG